GACAGAGGGUGCAAACGUUGUUCGGAAUUACUGGGCGUAAAGCGUGUGUAGGCGGCUUCGCAAGUCGGAUGUGAAAGCCCCGGGCUCAACCCGGGAAGUGCACUCGAUACUGCGGAGCUUGAGUGUGGAAGAGGUUGGUGGAAUUCUCGGUGUAGAGGUGAAAUUCGUAGAUAUCGAGAGGAACACCGGCGGCGAAGGCGGCCAACUGGACCACUACUGACGCUGAGACACGAAAGCGUGGGGAGCAAACAGG
rnacentral:rRNA from 1 species